ensembl:lncRNA
CUGUCCCAAAGAAAGACAAAGCUGUCCCUCUGAAGACCGCAUUUCAAGGCUGAUUGCAUCACUGCGGUGCGACGAAGGCCGAUGUAUUUCAAAAGCGAUUGAAACACUUCGCACCCUACCAUAUCCCAGAGUCACUUGCAUGCAGAUGACGAUGGUGUUUCUAUUCAAAGAUCAGGGCAGUACUAUUCAGCAGAAAAUAUGCCUGCUGGGGAAAACAGUGAAAAAAAAAAAAAAAAAUGGGAGGUGAAUCUCUUGGUGAAUGGCCAGCACCACCUCAGCGACUCGGAGGACAAUGCGGUAACAGUGGAACGAGGCACAGAAGACAGAAAAGAAACACCAGGGUCUGGAUUGUAGCACUUCUCAGAAGAUCCAGCAGCACUGUCAGGGCCUCCCUGCUCAGCCCAAAACCAUUAAAAACCUGUCCUGCGCUGGCACAUUCAAAUUUAUCCUGCAUUUUGUUUUAUUUUUGCUAACCUGUCUACAUAUGAUCACCAUGGUC